rnacentral:snoRNA from 1 species
AGGUCGGGAUAAUUGUUACAGUAUAGCUGUCAAGUGCUAUAUUGUCCCACCCCCUGCUGAAAGUAAGUGUUUCCUACAAUCUCUGUCUAGCUCAGUUCUAUAGUGAGACAGGGACGCUUGGUCUCAAACAU